CAGGGUGAGCCGUGCGGGGAUCUUGUAUUCGGUCUCGUCCCAGGAGAACAUGGACUCCUUCUUGGAGAUGACAAUCUUCUCCUCGGCAGCCAGGGGACCUCUCACCCACCCCCGCACGAAAAUGUCGCUGGACUUCUCCCCAGUGAAGAAGUCGUCAUCUUCCAAGACCACCUCAUCCGUGUUCCACACGAUGACCCGCAGCUCGUACCUGGGCACCAAGUCCAGUGCUGGCAGUCGCUUGGUCUGGCCACUUUACAGAUGGGAAAACUGAGGACCAUGGAGGGAAAAGUGACCUGGCCAGUGUCAACUAACAGAGACAGAUGGCUUGGCUCAUGAUCCAGCGUUCUGGCUACUCUCCCACCCUCCUGCACAUCCCAUCAGUUUUAAAUAAAACUUGGCAGAGCUGAA